rnacentral:pre_miRNA from 1 species
AACCAAAGAACCAUGAUUUUAGAGGGACCUAAGACAUGAUAAAUAUGGAUUUUUAGGUCCCUCUAAAAUCAUGGCUCCUUGGUU